CCCCAUUUUAUAGAAGUGACUUGAACAUCUUUAGAUUUUCGGUAUCCCAGGGGAUCCUAGAAUUCCCAAACAGAGGGAUGAUACUACACAGUAUUUACAUUUUAAAAAUGUGACAUACUUCUUUAAGAGGAAUUGAUGGCUGUUAGAAACAAUAAAUAAAUAAAGGGGCUGGGAAU